rnacentral:misc_RNA from 1 species
GUUGGCAACCAAUAGCCAUCAGGAUAUUGACGACUAUUACAAUGUAUACUAACCGUAGAUGGAAUGUAAUAAACAGUGAGUAACAAAAAUGACGUGAAAUAAAGGGCGCUGUACACACAGCAUGUUACAGCUCUGCAAGAGAAUGAAGAAUACAAGAGCAGAGUGAAAAUUUUAUGUAAAUUUAAUUUUACAUGUUUUUACCAAUUCUGAGAAUUGUUAUAACCCUAUCUAUACUGAAUAAUAAUUUCAAUCUAAUACCAGUAAUGCUUAAUAAUCGCUAGUACUUAAAUGUGAUUCUAACUGGGCAAGACAAGAGGAGGAGGAGGAGGAGGAGGUGAAUUGUGUUGAGGUUGCUACUUCUGUUGGCGUGUCUGCACUGGUGCCACUUUAUCAAAAUAGUAACAUUGUUACAAGCUCACAUUUAGAAGGUGAUGAUGAGGAGGAGGUGAAUUGUGCUGAGGUUGCUGCUUCUGCUGGCAUGACUGCACCAAUGCCAGUUUAUCAAAAUGGUAACAUUGCGACCAGCUCACAUUUGUCAGAAAGCACAUGCGUAGAAUCUACUGUAUUACCUCCAUCUGAGUUACCAUCUGAAUCAAAUGCUGCUGCUGUAGUUGGUGAUAGUUAUUUUGCAUCAGCUGAGCCUUCCCAAGUUGGAAGUGAGAAUGAUGGUAUUUUUGCAAUGUUGGCUAACAUCUUAGAGGAAAGCCCAUCCAUUCAAAGUCAAAAUGACAUGAAUGAAGUUCAUGAUAUCAAUCAUGGUGGAAACAAUGCAGUUAAUCCCAAUUCAAAUGGAAUCGAUAUUUAUGAUGGUUUAGGAGAUCUGGGCAACCUGACUAGAAUUGAUGAAGGUGCAUAUAGUACACUUGAUUAUACAGGUCCAGCCAUGGACCAAAUGCUUGGGAGCGAUGAUAUGCAAUAUUUGGAGCUGAUGGAUCUUGAUGCGCCUUUGGAUCGCUCCACUGAACCUGGUGGAUAUGAACAAGUCCAAACUGGUGGCUUGCAUGUUGAUGAGAAUCAAUUCUUUAAUGCAGAAGACUUGCAUUGCGUUGUUAAUUCUUGCAACUCUGCAGAGCUUUUCCAUGGAACAGUCGGACAUCCCCAGAGAUGAGAAAUCAAAUUUCUGAGAAAUGCUGGUUAUUGAUUUAUUACAGAAAUUCUUGUGUGAUCUAACCAAUGGUUGAUUGACACACAACAAAUACUUUCAUUUUCACAACAAUAUUUUUAGGACCAGCACUACCAUAUUUUUAAAGCCUUAUCUGCUAUAUGCUCCUUUCUUGGAAAUUUUUAGGACUUGCUUAUAAUUUUCUAUGUUUGUUGAGAAUAUUAAUUUUCAUUUUCCGUGGAGAACUUUUAAAACUUGUUUAUUUAGUAAGUUAUUUUGAAAAAUAUUCAUUUUCC